AUUGAACGCUGGCGGCAUGCUUUACACAUGCAAGUCGAACGGUAACAGGCCGCAAGGUGCUGACGAGUGGCGAACGGGUGAGUAAUGCAUCGGAACGUGCCCAGUCGUGGGGGAUAACGCAGCGAAAGCUGCGCUAAUACCGCAUACGAUCUAUGGAUGAAAGCGGGGGAACGUAAGGCCCCGCGCGAUUGGAGCGGCCGAUGUCAGAUUAGGUAGUUGGUGGGGUAAAGGCUCACCAAGCCGACGAUCUGCAGCUGGUCUGAGAGGACGACCAGCCACACUGGGACUGAGACACGGCCCAGACUCCUACGGGAGGCAGCAGUGGGGAAUUUUGGACAAUGGGCGCAAGCCUGAUCCAGCAAUGCCGCGUGCAGGAAGAAGGCCUUCGGGUUGUAAACUGCUUUUGUACAGAACGAAACGGUCCUGGUUAAUACCCGGGGCUAAUGACGGUACCGUAAGAAUAAGCACCGGCUAACUACGUGCCAGCCGCCGCGGUAAGAC
rnacentral:rRNA from 1 species